CUUGAAUAAUUGGAUCUGGGUCUGAAAAACUCAAAGAUUGAGUGUUGUCAUCAGCUUCAUCUCUUGUUUAACCCACGAGAUAGGAGUUAAAUAACAGCACUACAUAU
rfam:Glycine soja cultivar W05 scaffold2311_17, whole genome shotgun sequence.